GCCGGGGUGGUGGAAUUGGUAGACACAGGGGAUUCAAAAUCCCCCGGUAGCAAUACCUUGUCGGUUCGAGUCCGACCCUCGGUACCA
rnacentral:tRNA from 1 species